rnacentral:rRNA from 1 species
CAAUCUGCCUUGGAGUGGGGAAUAACGGCUGGAAACAGCCGCUAAUACCGCAUGAUACAGCUGGGAGGCAUCUCCCUGGCUGUCAAAGAUUUAUCGCUCUGAGAUGAGCUCGCGUCUGAUUAGCUAGUUGGCGGGGUAACGGCCCACCAAGGCGACGAUCAGUAGCCGGACUGAGAGGUUGGCCGGCCACAUUGGGACUGAGACACGGCCCAGACUCCUACGGGAGGCAGCAG